AGCCUUAUGCCUCUAUAUAUAAGGUUAAGUCUGCCCACUGAAAUUAUUAAAAUUUUAAAUGGCCGCAGUACUUUGACUGUGCUAAGGUAGCAAAAUAAAUAGGCUUUUAAUUAAGGUCGUGUAUGAAUGGCACCAUGGGUGUAAACUGUCUCAAUUGUUAUUACUAUUUGAAUUUAGUUAAUAGGUGAAAAUACCUAUUUUUCAAAUAAUAGACGAGAAGACCCUUAGAGUUUUUUAAUAAGAUAAUUUAUUUCCUAGUUUAUUAAUUUUUUGUUGGGGCGACAAAGUAUCAUUAUAGCAUACUCAGCAGAAUAUAUAAACCAGUCUUUAUUACAUUUGAACAUAACUACCUAAGGGAUAACAGCAUAAUUUUUCAUCAAAGAUUGUGACCUCGAUGUUGGACUAGGGACUGAAUAUAUUAGUCAUAUAUUUAGAAUAUUCUGUUCGAAUAGAUAUUACCU
rnacentral:rRNA from 1 species